rnacentral:misc_RNA from 1 species
GAUACCUUCUACGAUAAAAG